CAGCAUGUGAUUCCAGAGAUGACAGGCUGCACUACAGACCCCCUCACCAACAGGAAGCAGCUCUCAGAGAAAGUAUCCAUGGAUUAAAAAGAUUUGUGGAGAGAAACCAGCGGUGUGCCUAAUCUGUACAGUCACAGAUGAAUAACACCACAGCAUCAUCUCAUACACAUCGCCUGCAAGAGAGUGGGUCUUGAGAGUUGAAUCAAUGCUGAACACUUUAUUUAGAUUGCAAAUUAUCUCGCUACCUCAGCAGACUGCGAAAUCAACUGGAAGCUUUUCAGCAUUUAAUUAAGGAGGACAAAAGAAAGUCCCAAUAAUAACAGUGUGAAACUGCCACAGAAAAAUUAUGAAUACAAAGGGAGAAAUCAUCAGUAAUUAACCCCAAUCUGAGACUACAGAGGAGACUCCAAAACAAGAGGGGAGCACAUGAAAAUAAUACUAAAUUUACUUGUCUUGAAUAGAUAUAACAGAUUUUUCCCUAAGAUGGCCAACAGGACUGAAAGGGAAAUUCCAGUCCUUGGCUGAAGACUCCCCUCCAGGGUUCUUCUUCCCACCCCGCUUGCUGCGCGUGCCAAAUUACUACUAAUACAGAAUGCGGAAAUAACAUACUAGAAAUUGUUCCUUCUGCUUACGUGGGGGCUCAGACUUCGGGAGAGUGAUCUCCUCUGAACCCACCUGUGUGAAAUAAACCUCCUGCCUUCCAAGAUCUCCAAGUGCUGCCUGGUUCUUCUGCCGGGUGAUCCAGAUCAGAUUCCAUAACAUUUGGUUCCCCAGAAACCCAACUGCACUGGCCCAUUGUUGCCACUGGUUUGGGAAAACAGCGAGGCAGUGAUGCAAUGAGGAGUCACAACAGAGAAGGCGCACCCUGUCUGAUAUUUGGCAGUCUCUGGCUUGGUCGCCUCAGGCCAGCCCCACUCCGCCAUUCCCACUGGACUCAAGGAGACUUGGCAGGUGAGGACCGGGACCCAACAUCGGAUACCGGAACUUUAGAACGAAUCUGGAAAGUGGACACUCCACCCUAAGGAUCAAUGUCCCCACUGUGAGACCAAAAAGAAUGAAUCGUCCUCCAGAAGAUUCAUUUAGAGAUCUGGAAAGAACAAUCUUUGCAAUAUAUUGAGACUUCUGCCAGCUGAAGAGAAGACUGGAAAGUGAAGCAUAGGAGAAUAUGACACCCCAAAAUAUGCUCCUUUGGUGUAGUGAUUAUCUUGAGUUGUAGGCACUUCAAAAUCAGCAAAUACAGGAAGAGGUUUCUGUAAAUGCUCCUGCUAUGUCUCAAAACAGAUCCUUAAAAAAAAACUCACUUGUCAGAAAUCCCUUCCCUGGGGGUUUCAUCAACAGGAAAGACUGACUCUUAUCUUAAGAGAGAGGCUAAGAAAUUGACACCACACUCAGUCAGACUUUAUCAUGAAAGGUCAUACUGCCCACCUGUUCUCGUAAGGGCCCAUUGAUCUUCCCUAAACACCAUUCAGUCUCCCCUAAGAGGCCUACAUCCCCUCUGUCCUUUCAGUAUUAAGAUGGUAUUUCAGUCCGAAUCCUAUGCUACUUUGGGGAGUUAUUCAUUUUUUCCCAGGUAUCUCCCAUGUGUACAUGAGGUAUAUGUGUUAAUAAAUUUCUGUUGGUUUUUUUCUGGUUGAACUUUUAUUACAGGGUCUCAACUAAGAACUCAGAAGGAUAAAGAGAAAAUCAUUCCCCUCACUUACAAAGGCAUAGUCUACUCCUUAUCCACCACAACAACCCAGUAAGGGAAAUAAAGGUGGCAUUAGGUCAGAUCCAAAAGAGCAGAAACCCAAGCCUCUACAUCACUUUGGCUGCCAAAAUGGAAUUUUCAUUUUGUUUGGAAUUCAAAUGUUUUUCUGUCAUUAAUUUGGGGAAUGAUAUUGCUCAAUAGGAAAACAUAUUCAUGUAAAUCCCCAGAAAAACCAGUGAAACCCCACCACAGCACAUAUUCCACAGUAUCUCUUUGGCACAGAGAUUUCUCAGCAGCAUUUUUCACUCCUUUCUAAUGUGGAAAAAGGAUUUACUACAACAGAAGUUUUUCUUUUGGCAGACAUGCUAUAAGUCUGCUAAAGCUUUUUCGUAUGUUAGCUUUUGACCUCAAAUAAUAUCACAAGAGAAAACAUUCACAUGAUCUACUCGAAGCAUAAAAAUGUAGAGAAGAGAAAUAAACCUGAUAUUGAAGAGAAGAUAUUUUGAGCAAGAUUUCUAAUAAUUGAUGAAAUGACAGGCUCUUUUAUGAAAAAGUCUAUAAGUAGGGGUGUGGUGGGAAUGACAUUUGCAAUAAAAAUAUGUUUAUAGCAAAAGGAGAAAUUCUCAGAAUGCUUCUCCAGUUGAGGGAGAUCCCUAAUUACUAAACACCAAGAGGUUGUGGUUUUUACCAACUGCCUUCACCUCCUCCUUAUAAUAGAAAUAUGAGCUCAUUUGUUCUGGCUUGAUCCCCCUGGCCACAAGACACAGAGAGGAAAACAAUACAGUGAGAAUAUGGAGAAACAGGCCAUCCUUGGUACAGUUUGCAAGUUGCCUCAUUUUACCUCUUUGGUAACUAUUUUGUACCCAGUUAAGGUUCUGAAGAAGCAAUGUGAAGUGAGGUAUUGUCAUCAAACAGCUCACCCAGCUCAGUGUAUAGAUGCCAGAUGAUAAUGAUUAAUGUGCUUCCAGAUAACUGUUGAAGGCACACUCACUCCCCAGAAUAAAUCCUUGCAAGUUUGCUAGGGAUUUGCCUCUGAUGGCCAUUGGCCUGCACCUGGUUUUUCUGCACCUGGCCUUAGGAAUCAAAAGCAGCCUGUGCCAGUGAAACACAACUUUUAGGUGAGCCCUAGAACCUCCAGCCAACUCAUUUUCAUCAUAUUCAGGAGAUCAGGGCUACUGGGCAGAGAAGAGAAAGGGGGAACCCAUUCUCUGCUUCUAAUGGGGCACAUGAUUCUCAGACUUUCACGUGCAUCCAGAACACCCAGAGGAACUGCGGAUACACAGACUGCUGGCUCUACUUCUAGGGUUUUUGAUUCAGUGGGUCCGAGAUGAAGCCUGAGAUUUUCCAGGUGAUCCUGAUGUUGCUAGUCUGGGGUCCACACUUUAAGAAUCACUGUAAUAGGGCAGGUUCAAGUGUUUGUGUUCAAGCAACUGCUUUUCUAAGUGCUAUGUUCAGACUUUGCACUUCAAUUACCUGUAAGGGAAAGGGAGGCUCAGAGACCAAGGCUGAAAUAUGUGUGUAGUUUGGGAGCUGGAGGCACUCAGGCCUCUUAAGGCUGGUCAUUCAGAUAGAAUCAUUUGCAGCAACUUGCCUAUAUUAUGAAUCUAUACUUAAUAUCAGUCUUAAAUAUUCUAUAUCAUUUUUAUAGGAGAUGAUUGAGAAGCCAUUUCAGCCAUGAAAACAUUUGGGGCGAAUAAAGGGGAAAAAGGAUCUGUUUUGAACUGUGGGCAUUUCAGGCCAGCGGACUCUAGGCAGCUCUUCUACAGGGUUGAAGGGGCAACCAGAAAGUUGCAACAUUUGUACUUGUCAUAUAUUUGACUUGCCGUUUUCUAAUUUUCCUUACUUUCCUUCCUCAUUCCCUUCCUUCCUUCUGCAUAAACUCACAAGCAAAAUAAGUAAGGCAUUUUUAGGAAGUAAAUGGCAUAUACUUAAAAUACAUAGAAAAAAAUAUCACCAUCUUUAAGGUGUGCAUCUGCCAAAUUUCAAUCAUGUAAGAAAGUAUGCUAAAAAAGUAAACACUUGAUCUUCUGACUCUGAAAGAUUUCCUCCUUUUAGCAUUCCAUUGGGAGUACAUCCAAAAAAAAAAAUUCUCUUCCCUUUCUAAGUAGGUAACCAUUUAGCUUCUGACAUGAAAUAGCUAAUAACCAUCUCUUC